AGUGAAUAGAUACCCGGGUAGUCCACGCCCUAAACGAUGUCUACUAGUUGUCGGGGAUUCAUUUCCUUGGUAAACGCAGCUAAACGCGUGAAGUAGACCGCCUGGGGAGUACGGCCGCAAGGUUAAAACUCAAAGGAAUUGACGGGGACCCGCACAAGCGGUGGAUGAUGUGGAUUAAUUCGAUGCAACGCGAAAAACCUUACCUACGCUUGACAUGCCAGGAACUUUCCAGAGAUGGAUUGGUGCCCGAAAGGGAACCUGGACACAGGUGCUGCAUGGCUGUCGUCAGCUCGUGUCGUGAGAUGUUGGGUUAAGUCCCGCAACGAGCGCAACCCUUAUCCUUAGUUGCUACGCAAGGGCACUCUAGGGAGACUGCCGGUGACAAACCGGAGGAAGGUGGGGAUGACGUCAAGUCCUCAUGGCCCUUAUGUGUAGGGCUUCACACGUCAUACAAUGGUCGGUACAGAGGGUCGCCAACCCGCGAGGGGGUAGCCAAUCCCAGAAAACCCGAUCGUAGUCCGGAUUGCAGUCUGCAACUCGACUGC
rnacentral:rRNA from 1 species